CUCACCUGUAUUCGUAUGGAAAUUUACCCGAAUUCCUUUACCCCGUCACAAUGCUCCGCUUCUUCUCCCGCCACAAAAACCAAAUCCCCUCACUCUCCUCCACGCGCCACCUCUCCUCCACCGGCGUCACCCCCAACACUUGCUCAAAUCUGUAUUCAAAAUACUCCUUCAUACCCCCACCUUCCCUCAAACCCCAAAACCCUAACUCCACCCAACCCGCACCACCCAACAAGCAGCCCAAACCCCGUUACCGGCCACCCUCCUCACUAGACCGGACCGGUUCGAAACCGGUUCAGUCCAAACUCCCCUUCGACUUCCGUUUCAGUUACACUGAGAGCAGUACGGAUGUUCGGCCCAUUGGGCUUCGAGAGCCCAAGUACUCACCUUUCGGGCCUGGAAAGUUGGAUAGAGUGUGGACUGGUGUGUGCGCACCUGUUGUUGACCCUAAAGUGGGGUCCCCUGAAGAUGAGAAAAUGGUGGAAGAGAAGAGAAGGGUUGAGAGAGAGAGGAUUCAGGGAGAGAGUUUGACCAAUGCGGAGAGGAAAGCACUUGUUGAAAGGUGCCAGAGGCAUAAAACCAAGCGCCAAGUCAAUUUGGGGAGAGAUGGUUUAACGCAUAACAUGUUGAAUGAUAUUCAUAACAACUGGAAACAUGCUGAAGCUGUAAGAAUAAAAUGCAUGGGUGUGCCUACAGUUGAUAUGAAGAAUGUUUGCACUCAGUUGGAGGAUAAGACAUUUGGUAAAAUCAUCCACAGACAUGGUGGUUUACUUGUGCUCUACAGAGGAAGGAAUUAUCAUCCCAAGAAGAGGCCUGUUAUCCCCUUAAUGCUAUGGAAACCUCACGAGCCUGUAUAUCCCAGGCUUAUAAAAACUACUAUUGAUGGCUUGAGUAUCGAGGAAACCAAGGAAAUGAGAAAAAGAGGAUUAGCUGUUCCUGCAUUAACAAAACUAGCCAAAAAUGGUUACUAUGGCAGUCUUGUACCGAUGGUACGAGAUGCUUUUCUCACUGAGGAGCUAGUUCGGAUAGAUUGUAAAGGCCUUCCAAAGAGUGAUUACAAGAAAAUUGGCUGCAAGCUGAGGGAUUUGGUUCAUUGUAUACUCGUGACAUUCGAUAAAGAGCAGAUUGUGGUAUGGAGGGGUAAAAACUACAAACCUUCCGAGGACGGGUUCUUCCUUACAGAAAGAGAACAAUUUGAUCAUUCCAGUAAUGAUUCGGAUAAUCAUGAGGAUGAAAACGAAAGCACAGAAGGAAUUACUGUUGACAGUGAUUAUGAUUCUGGCGACAGUGAUUAGAUCAUCUAUCAAUGAAUUAGCUAAAAUUCUUGUUGGGCUUCAAGCAGUUAUAGUUGCCGCAAGUCUAGCCGAGGGAAAAUAACAAUAUACAAUACAAUGACCAAAUACAAGAGACCACUUGCACAGCUUGGGAAAGAAUCAAGAAAUGUAUGAUUAAAAGAACUUCACUGCUCUGUCAUUCACUGUAUAUAGAUUAGCAUGUAUUUUUGUUGGGCGAGACCCUCAUGUCUUAACUAUUGGCUCUUCCAAAACUUGGAAAAUUACCAGACCCUGCAUCCAUCAAAAGGCAGGGGUUGGCAUAGCUGUAAUUAUAUUGAUUCGCACAUGGUUUGCCAGGAAUUCAGAACGUAACACGUGCUUGCUACUUUUGGUGAGUGCCAAUCUCUCUUACCAACUUAGCUGGGAAAUUUCUGCAGCAGUAUUAUACUAGCCUGACAAAUGUUCUUGGUGGAUCUCAAUGCACCAGAUCCCAGAAUCACUAGUUUAUUUUGCACGCUUCUCAAUGUUCCCGUGCCUUCCAUGCACGUUCGUCUGGAUAAUAAUUAAUUCGCUUAUGAUGUUACACUAAUCCGUAUCGACUUAUCAUGUUUCAUUAAAUAAAUGAGGUGAGAACGUAAAUGAACCCACCAUGGUUAUGUGUUAAAAGUUUAUUUGCAAUCACAUGUCAUGCAUAUUUGAUUUGGUGUGGAUAUUGGGUACAUGUAAUGAAUUUACCAUAACUCCUUGGGGAAAACAUGUCUUGCUCUUUUUGCCAAAAAAUUCAUUUACCAAGAUUUAUCGUGGUUAUUUGCUUGCCUCCA